GACGAACGCUGGCGGCGUGCUUAACACAUGCAAGUCGAACGAUGAAGCCGGAGCUUGCUCUGGUGAAUUAGUGGCGAACGGGUGAGUAACACGUGAGUAACCUGCCCUUGACUCUGGGAUAACUGCGGGAAACUGUAGCUAAUACCGGAUACGACCCUCGGAGGCAUCUCCUGGGGGUGGAAAGAAUUUCGGUCAAGGAUGGACUCGCGGCCUAUCAGCUCGUUGGUGAGGUAAAGGCUCAACGAGGCGACGACGGGUAGCAGGCCUGAGAGGGUGACGGGCCACACUGGGGCUGAGACACGGCGCAGGCUCCUACGGGAGGCAGCAGUGGGGAAUAUUGCACAAUGGGCGAAAGCCUGAUGCAGCAUCGCCGCGUGAGGGAUGAAGGCCUUCGGGUUGUAAACCUCUUUUAGCAGGGAAGAAGCGAAAGUGACGGUACCUGCAGAAAAAGCACCGGCUAACUACGUGCCAGCAGCCGCAGUAA
rnacentral:rRNA from 1 species